UAAGGAAUAUUGGGCAAUGGAGGCAACUCUGACCCAGCCAUGCCGCGUGCAGGAAGACGGCCCUACGGGUUGUAAACUGCUUUUAAUAGGGAGUAAUGUUAGUUACGAGUAACUAAUUGCAAGUACCUAUAGAAUAAGGAUCGGCUAACUACGUGCCAGCAGCCGCGGUAAUACGGAGGAUCCAAGCGUUAUCCGGAUUUAUUGGGUUUAAAGGGUGCGCAGGCGGACUGAUAAGUCAGUGGUUAAAUCUACAUGCUUAACAGGUAAUGUGCCAUUGAUACUGUUAGACUAGUAUGCAAAUGACGUAGCUGGAAUGUGUUAUGUAGCGGUGAAAUGCUUAGAUAUAACACAGAACACCGAUCGUGAAGACAGGUUACUAAUUUGUUAUAGACGCUCAUGCACGAAAGCGUGGGGAUCAAACA
rnacentral:rRNA from 1 species